GGGGUUCAGUCGGCCCCGCAGAGGCAAGCAGAGCUCCAUGCUUCCUGAGGAUGCGUUGGCAGCUCUGUGAGGGUUGCCAUAGUUUUUAUGUAGGGUGACCAGAACCGGCUGGAACUGGUUUGAGGCAGAUCAGCUCUUGAACACAAUGCAGUCACUGAGCUGCUACAGUAGGAUAGCUUCCACCCUCCAUGGCAGCCAAAAGCAGAGGAGCUUGCAGAAAGGAUACCAUCCCUAAACAGUAUGUGAAUGCACACUUAGACACACAGCACUGGCCUAUUGAUUGGGACUGCCUUUAACCCUUUCAUAUUUGCAGAGAUAAUCCAUCUGUGGCAGUAACUGAGCGUUGACAAAAAAAAUAUUUCAGAGGUCAAGGUUCACAAAGGAAAUCAGCAACUCUAGAAUCUUAUCCAGUAUGAUUUUUUAAAAAUCUGAACAGUCUUGGCUGUGUUAGCUGCUUUGAUAAUCUGCAAUCAAGAUAAAUAUGGAGGCAAAAUGGUGACAACAUUCUGUUCUAGUGUGAAAUGAGAGUCCUUCCCUCUGUGUCUUGAAAGCCCUGAAAGAUUGUGGGAUUUGGGUAAGUUUUAUGGUGGCUGAUGAUAGGCAGAGUUCCUGCAUCAGAGCGUGGCAAAUACAAGAGAUCCUUUUUAUUUCGGACUGCAGCAGAUUACAUAAGGUACUUAGAUAUUAAUUGUAGGAAAGUGAAAAUAGCAUGCCAAUGUUUUGCUUGAAAUUGUGUUUCUGUGGGUUUUAAUGCAGCUGCAAUGUAUUUUUUUCCCAGAGUCGAUAGGGUAGUAGGUAGCUUGUGUAGUGAAGCAAAAUGCCUAAUAUCACUAUGCUGAUUUGUUUCCAUCUUUUUUGUAAUUUGGAUGCAGAGGUUCUAUAUUUUACUGUAGAUAUCUGUAGCAAAAAUAUACUUUAUAAAUGUGAAUUCAUCUUGUUUGAUAGAAAUUGUACCUAUUGCUGCUGUUAAUGCAUGUUCUUUUCCAAGGGCCAGAUAAAAUGAAUGUAACAUGAGAGCACCUUUUGGAUUUUUUUUCU